rnacentral:rRNA from 1 species
UACGGAGGAUGCAAGCGUUUAUCCGGAAUUAUUGGGCGUAAAGCGUCCGCAGGUGGUUGGGCAAGUCUGCUGUCAAAGCGCGGAGCUUAACUCCGUACAGGCGGUGGAAACUGCACGACUGGAGUGCGGUAGGGGUAGAGGGAAUUCCCAGUGUAGCGGUGAAAUGCGUAGAUAUUGGGAAGAACACCAGCGGCGAAAGCGCUCUACUGGGCCGCAACUGACACUCAUGGACGAAAGCUAGGGGAGCGAAAGGG